GCCUUUAUUCAAAGUGAUUGUGGGCUGCCUGUGCCCGGGUCAUUGAUACUGCAGGAGAGGCUGCGGAAAGCCUUUUCCCGUGUUUGGGAAGUCUGCUCCUGUCCUUGCUAAACGUGGGUGCUUUCAAACA